GGGUCUGUCCGUCGGUCGGGCUUCACGGUCCGUACUGGUGUGAUGGGUUCCUACCUUCUGAAUAACCAGCAUGUCAUUAAUUUGGUGCGUUGGGGAAGCAGGACUGUUACCUUGAAAAAAUUAGAGUGCUUAAAGCAGGCUAGUGCCUGAAUACAUUAGCAUGGAAUAAUGAAAUAGGACGGCAUGGUUCUAUUUUGUUGGUUUCUAGGAUCACCGUA
rnacentral:rRNA from 1 species